rnacentral:lncRNA from 1 species
CAACCGCCCGAGGAGAGAGGUGACCUUUGGCUCUCAACUGACUGGCUGAUGGCUGCUCCCUGCAGGUGCAAGUGCUCACACAGGAAAAGCCCAUGACAAUUCCUAACCCCAGCCCACCUCGCCCCUCGCCUUCUCUCUUUUGGGAGCCAAGCCAUUUUGGCCUCCAUUCUCCUUCGGGUGACCCUGGUGACAGCCUCUCCGGGAGCUCGUCCUCCUGGUUUGAUUUCUGAGCUUCCGUCAGUGGCGCUCUGUCAACCCCAGCUGCCGGGGGGCUCGAGCCCAGAGCCCGCUACUCCGCCUGACCCGCUCCACCUCAUGGCAGGCAUGGUCUGCAAACUCCUGGUCAGAGGAGCCUGGUGGCCUUCCCUGUUGGGAUCCUGUCCCCUUCCACGCCUUUGCUUCCUGCUGUGCACGUCUCUGAGAGUGGCGUUCCCUGCCACCCCGCAGUGACCCCAAGCAGGGUUGAGCCCCAGUUGCCCAUGAAGGUGACCUGGUCAUUCAUGUCCCCUCAGGCUUCCUCCCUGUCUCUCUCUCCCACUCCCUUACGGGUGCCUGCUGGGGUCAUUUUCCUGACAGACUGGUUGCACCCCAGUCCUUGUUUCAGAGUUGGCUCCUGGAGGAGGCAGCCUGCCACACUGAGGCCUGCAGGGCUCAGAUACGACAGAGCAGUGUGGCCACGAGGCCUGUGCCUCACUGGGGUCCUGUCCUCACUCGAGCCACAUAGCCACUGGCAAUGUCCCCGUUGCCAGAGACAUUCCUGCUGAGGAAGUCCUUACACACCUCGGUCCUGGUCCUGGCCAGUGGGUGUGGAAGUUAGGGGUUUGGGUUUGCAGGGGGGAGCCCUGAGUUCCAGGCCCCAGCUGCACCUGUCUCUGUGGCCCCUCUUACGUCACAGCCUUCCUGGACCUUCAGUUUCCUGUUCAGUAGGAUGGGGGUGGUCGCCCCUGCCUGCUGGGUCCUACGGAGGACCCAUUUACUCCAUCAUCCAACACUUAGGGAGCUCUGUGCUGGGGCCAUUGCUCCAGGGGACUGAAAGGGCACCCAGGAGAGGCCAAGCACAUAGUAAACGCUCAGUUAAUGGUGCUGCUGACACACAGGGGCCCUUCCCUGCCCAUCUCUCUGGUCUUGGUGUAGGAACACAGGCCCUUGACUUCCUGGGACUUUCAAAGCCUUUCAACAUUGACUGUCCCUGGCUCGGUGGAGGGUCAGUGGCUCAGAGAAGAUCACCUGAUCCGUAUCGUUGGCCCCUCUGUGGGCACUGGUUUCCUUCAGUCAGCAGAUCUCACAUUACAUAAACAAGCCGGCAUUGGUGACUCAGCACAGCACAGUGUGUGUGACACCCGGUACCUCCUUGCUCACACACCAGGGUCGGGGAGCGACUUGGCAAAUGAGGCCACGUGAGGGGCAGUUGCCAGGCAGCUAAGUGUGGCACUCUGGAACCAUCAUCCUGGCUCCCCAGUUGCUGUCCGGCUUUGGACAAGCACCUCACCCUUUCUGUGCCUUGGUUUCCUUACCUGGAUCUCAGGGAUUUAUUGUCACAUGUUGUAUUUCUGGAGUCAGACAGCUAAAGCAUGGAUCCUGUUUUUUCCACUUAUUUGCUGUGUAACCUUAACCAGUAUCCUAGCCUCUCUGUGCCUCCUUCUGUAAAAUGGGAGCAAUGACAUUAGUG